GAAGGCUCUGGGGAGAUCUUAUAGCACUUUCCAGUACCUAAAGGGGGCUUACAAGAGAGCUGGAGAGGCACUUUUUACAAGGGCAAGAGGGAAUGGCUUUGAACUGAAAGAGAGUGGAUUUAGAUACUAAGAACUGUGGAAAAGGCUGGCCAGAGAAUCUGUGGAUGCCCCAUCCCUGGAAGUGUUCAAGGCCAAGUUGGAUGGGGCUUUGAAUAACCUGGUCCAGUGGAAGGUGUCCCUGUCCAUGACAGUGGAGUUGGAACAAGAAGACCUUUAAGAUCCCUUUCAACUCAAACCAUUCCAGGAGUCUCUAAUUGCUAUGCUGUAGACAAGUCAAAUGAGAAAGCCUCAGAGGAAUCAGGAGAGAGAGCUCAUUCUUUCCAGCACUGUGGCUACAGCAACAGGAACCCCCAUGGAAGUUGCCUGCUGGGUAGCAUCAGUCCUCAGUUUCUCCAAAUUCAGGGUAGUUUGAAUAGAAUAAAAACCUGGUGCAUGGUCUUGAACUUCAAAGUCUUAUAUGAAAACUUAAAAAUAGACCAAAUGUUGUUCUUGCAAGAGAGUUUGCCAUAAUAUUCAAGGAAGGAUGAGAUCCACAAGCAGGUAGCAGGUAUGUUUGUGUGCUCUUAAGAACAUUUUCCUGUUGUAUAUUUGUUUUUCCAUCAUUAUCCAUAGCUUUACACUCAUAAUGUCCUAUUUUUCAUCCCUCUCCUCCUAUUCCUCAUUGUAUUUUGCUUCCUGCAGUGACAGAGGUUCCUGCAGAGAGCUGGAUGGGGAGACAAUCCUUUGCCACACACUGCAUGUGCAACCACCUCUCUGAAAUUCUUCCCUUCUCUUCCUACCUGUGCACUUUGAUGACUCCUGAUGGCACUCAUUCCCAUGUUAUCUCAUUCCCUAGGAUUCCAUUUGACUGCUGGAACUCAUUUCUGUA